rnacentral:lncRNA from 1 species
GGGGGAAGAAGAAAAGAGGAUGCCAGUCCUUGUUCCUAGGCCAAGACCUGAGCCCUGUAAUAUUAAUAUUUGGAUCUAAAAUCAGCCUUCCAACAGCAACAUGAAGUUGGCAGCCUUCCUCCUCCUGUGAUCCUCAUCAUCUUCAGCCUAGAGGUACAAGAGCUUCAGGCUGCAGGAGACCGGCUUUUGGGUACCUGCGUCGAGCUCUGCACAGGUGACUGGGACUGCAACCCCGGAGACCACUGUGUCAGCAAUGGGUGUGGCCAUGAGUGUGUUGCAGGGUAAGGACAGAUGAAGAGUUAUCUUAAGGAUCAUCUUUCCCUAAGAUCGUCAUCCCUUCCUGGAGUUCCUAUCUUCCAAGAUGUGACUGUCUGGAGUUCCUUGACUAGGAAGAUGGAUGAAAACAGCAAGCCUGUGGAUGGAGACUACAGGGGAUAUGGGAGGCAGGGAAGAGGGGUUGUUUCUUUUAAUAAAUCAUCAUUGUUAAAAGCACUCAUACUAUUUGAGUUAUUUGGUUAAAGGUGAGGAGGAGGGGGAGGAGGACAGAUGACAU